AAGUCGUAACAAGGUCUCCGUUGGUGAACCAGCGGAGGGAUCAUUACUGAGUAUCUUACUCUCUACCCUUUGUGAACUAUUAUACCUGUUGCUUCGGCGGCGUCCCCCCGGGGGCGCCCGCCGGAGACCCAAAACUCUUGUAUUUCUUUAGUAUCUUCUGAGUAAACAAGCAAAUAAAUUAAAACUUUCAACAACGGAUCUCUUGGCUCUC
rnacentral:misc_RNA from 1 species